AUUGAACGCUGGCGGGAUGCUUUACACAUGCAAGUCGAACGGAGUGGCGAACGGGUGAGUAAUGUAUCGGAACGUGCCCAGUAGCGGGGGAUAACUACGCGAAAGCGUAGCUAAUACCGCAUACUAUUGGAGCGGCCGAUAUCGGAUUAGCUAGUUGGUGAGGUAACGGCUCACCAAGGCGACGAUCCGUAGCUGGUUUGAGGGGACGACCAGCCACACUGGGACUUAGACACGGCCCAGACUCCUACGGUAGGCGGCAGUGGGAAAUUUUGGACAAUGGGGGCAACCCUGAUCCAGCCGUCCCGCGUGUGCAAUGAAGGCCUUCGGGUUGUAAAGCACUUUUGGAAGGAAAUCGGUACCUGCAGAAUAAGCACCGGCUAACUACGUGCCAGCCGCCGCGGUAAUAC
rnacentral:rRNA from 1 species